UACGUAGGGUGCGAGCGUUGUCCGGAAUUAUUGGGCGUAAAGAGCUUGUAGGCGGUCUGUCGCGUCGGAAGUGAAAACUCAGGGCUUAACCCUGAGCCUGCUUCCGAUACGGGCAGACUAGAGGAAGGUAGGGGAGAACGGAACUCCUGGUGGAGCGGUGGAAUGCGCAGAUAUUCGGAGGAACACCAAUUGCGAAGGCAGCUCACUGGGCCGCUAUCGACGCUGAGGAGCGAAAGCUAGGGGAGCAAACAGG
rnacentral:rRNA from 1 species